AGCUCCACGCACCGCUGUCACUCCCUGGUGCCACCGCAGAAGCCGCCCUCGCCGAUGCCAUGAAUCGCAAAGGAGAGAGAGGACUCGCGCCACCUCCGCCACUGUUGAUCCCUCGAGGCUGGCGCGAGAGAAGAGGAGGGUAGGGGCGUUGUCUUGCGCCGUCGCCGUCGUGCCUGGGCGCUGCGGCUGCAAGCUCACGGUGCCGUCGUCGCCUUGCUGUCGCGGAGGGGGAAGCUUAGGAGAGAGAGAUUAAGAGGGAGACGGAGAGCCCGAAAGCCAAGGAAGGGGAGGAGGGCUGCUGUCACCGCCGUUGCUGGGCUGCCGCCGCCGAUCCUCUAGAACCGCCACUGCUGGGUCGCUGUGAAGAAGGGUCCGCUACUGCGACGCCGCUGCUACUGUGGCUGUCGCGGUGUCCACCGCAUUCCUGGUCACCGCCGGCUGUUCUGAUGCUGUCAAGGGGUUCAGGUCGCCGCCGAUGUCGCUGCCGGAGAAGGGAGCUGUGUCUCCGUGAUUCUGACCGCCGGAGAUGGUUCUGUGACUUCUGGGACCACCGUCGGAGCCUCUGGCUACUUCUGUUGUCGCCGGAGAAUCCUGUCGGUAAGAUUUUAAGUAUUGGGUUUCGUUUCUCUUGAGUUUUCGGAAACGUUACAAUCACUGCAUAUUGAUUUCAGUCGCCGCCGCCGGAGUCUAAUCACCGUUGUCGCCUGGCAUGGCUCCCGGGGCUACCGCCAAACCGGUUCGGAGAUCGCCGCUGUUUCGGUUCAGCCGUUCCUUCUUCGGUUCGAGUUGUUGAGACUGUUGCGAAAGUGGCUUGGAACCGAGGUUUUGGUUGCUGAGAUUUCGAUUGUUGAUUUCGGGUUGAGGUGGAAAGGACUCUGUGGCGCGCUUGGGCAAUGGAAUUGUGUUUUGAGGAUAUGGGGGCAGAAGUCACGAAUAGUUUAUUUAUUUGUUAUUGAGACGCUCUGUAUUGCUUUAGAUUAUUAUUUUUGUACCCUCGCCUUUAUCUUGAUAUAUUCUGUAAGAGGGAUAGGAAUUGUUUUGGAUAAUGUUUGUAAUAUUAUUUAUAUAUAUGUGUGUCUAUAUAUAUGGAUGUACUCUUUAUGAGUUUUUGUAA